CCCCACGUUCAAGUCGCGAUCGAGUCAUGGUUUCCUUUCCCAUCAGCAAAGAAGAAAACAAGAAGAAGAGGGCACUACAUGCAGAAACUUGGAAGCUGUACAUGAGCUAGUUCUACAGUUCUACUCACGUAUGAGGCGUACGGCCACUCCAUGCAUAUGGACGCAGAGCUUUGAAAAUACUGCAUGCCACUCAUCAGCUGUCAAUUCCCAAGGCAAUUACUGCUAGUUGGUACUGCAAGCGGUGACGUGAAAAUCGACAUUUGAUGGAUCACCCAGCCCAUCACCACGUGAUGCAAUGUCCAAGCAAAAUAGUAUCAAGGACUGAUCAUGUCAUCAGGACAUGUCCGAAAAUUUGAAGCCAGAGGCAAUACUUGCGUACAGAGAAAAAAAUCAACCGGCCGCUACUUCAAUGCGACGCUCAAGGCAGUCAUCACUAACAAAAGAUCACGUUGAUACAACUACUACAAUUAGAAAUACGUCUUAGGCGGUCGUUUCAGUGUGUCCAGAAUUAUUCAACAUCAGCGUCCGUGUUCAACCGAUAAAAUAUCAGGUGAUAUUUAUCCUAUCUAUUUAUCCAUAAAUAUUAAUUUA
rnacentral:lncRNA from 1 species